UCGGGGCGGGCAGUCCAGCGCACUGGUGCAUCCUACCGUGAGUCUAGAUCUUUUUAGAACAAAAUUGCGGGGCCUUUAACUUGGAAUUAAUUUGCUCUAAUAUAUAUUUUCACGGGAUCUGAUAUCUAGCCAGGCUUAUUGUUUGGUGGUGGAAGGAAAUUUCAGGAUUCGAGUCCUUUCCCUGUAGGUUUUGGGAUGACUUCCGGUAAGCUGCGGUUGUAAAUAAAAGUUGUCACGAUUCUGCAUUGCUGAACAAUGGAACAAGCGGUUUGGGCCAAAACCAGCCAAUCAGCGAUUUGUUUUGCCCCGGUGAGAACACGUGGCUGAGAAAUGCCAAGUCCUUAAAAGUGUCUCGGAUUGAGCUGCAGAGCAAGAGAACAGCGGUAGAGUGUAGUGUCCUCAGCUACCAUUUCCUAAAGCAGCAGCAGCAGAGGCCAUGGCUCCUCCUAUUAAAGUCUGUAUCAUUGGAUCUGGCAACUGGGGAUCGGUCAUCGGAAAAAUAGUUGGAGAGAAUGCGGCCAGAAGUAAGACGUUUGACAGCACUGUUAGCAUGUGGGUGUUUGAAGAGAUAGUAAACGGCAGGAAGCUAACAGAAAUUAUAAACACAGACCAUGAGAACAUGAAGUACCUGCCUGGAUACAAGCUGCCUGCCAACGUGGUUGCGGUACCUGAGCUACUGGAUGCAGCAAGAGAUGCUGAUAUCUUGGUGUUUGUCGUACCUCACCAGUUCAUCAGACAGACCUGUGAUGAGUUGAAAGGUCACAUCAAGCCUUCCUCUAUUGGAGUCUCUCUUAUUAAGGGUAUUGUUGUCGGACUGGAUGGCCUGAAGCUGAUCUCUGACAUAAUCCGGGAAACCCUUGGGAUUGAAGUUAGCGUGCUGAUGGGAGCCAAUCUGGCCAGCGAAGUAGCAGCUGAGAAAUUCUGCGAGUCCACCAUUGGAGCUACAAACAUUGCACAUGGGAAGGUUUUAAAAGAACUGCUGCAGACUCGAAACUUCAGGAUCAGGGUGGUAGAGGAGACAGAUACUGUGGAGAUCUGUGGGGCCUUAAAGAAUGUGGUUGCUGUCGGGGCCGGAUUCUGUGACGGGCUGGGCUGCGGAGACAAUACAAAGGCUGCUGUGAUCCGGCUGGGGCUGAUGGAGAUGAUCGCCUUUGCAAGGCUGUACUGCAAGGGCUCGGUGUUGUGCUCGACCUUCCUUGAGAGUUGCGGGGUGGCAGACCUCAUUGCAACCUGCUAUGGAGGCCGCAACAGGAAAAUCGCAGAGGCCUUCACAGUAACAGGAAAGAUUCUUGUAUCCUUCCUCAGUCUAUUGAACAGCUGGAGCAAGAGAUGCUGAAUGGACAGAAGCUACAGGGACCGCAAACAGCUUUCGAGAUCAAUCGCACUUUAAAGCUUCAAAACCUGGUCAACAAAUUCCCUCUGUUCACUGCUGUGUACCAGAUCUGUUAUCAAUGCAAGCCAGUCUCAGAAUUUGUCCAGUGCCUCCAGAACCACCCAGAACACAAGUAAUUAACUCAACUUAAAGAGACCUGUUCCGGACCUCACUGAGAUUUCAUCUACUUCUAAAUGAUCAGACACAGUUUAAUUGGCAGAAAGUGUCAAACCAAUGUUUGCCUCAUGCACGAAAGUGUUGGUAAAUCUUGCAUUCACUUGUGUGGAAAGAGGCAAGUUGUCUCCGUAGUUUUAUGUAUGUAUAUUUCUAUAAAUGUGUGUGUUUGGGGAUAGAGUUUCCACUUUGGAUGCCAUGAGAAAAUUGCUUCAAAAUGUGCUUGCAGUUGCACUGGCUAGGCUUCAAGUUUCUGCUAAAAUUUAUUUGCACAAUCAACUCAAAUCUUCCAGGAACCGACACAAGCGAGCAGCAUAAUAGAACGCAGCUAUUUGUUUUUCUUUCAAGUAUCCGUUGAGAGUGGUAACCUGGUGCAGUUUUGUUCAUUUUUAAUCUUCAUUGCUUAUGUUUUGAAACUCCUACAAAAUGAGUGCAGACUGUGCAGACGGUUUGAUGUAUGUUGACAGGGCCCUCAACUCAGUGCUGAUUCAGAGGAGAUUCAUGUGCUAGAACAAGAUGAACACCAAACUAACCUAGUUCACUUGUCAACUUUUAACUGCCAUGAAUGAGAGGAACAAUUUGGUCAGUCACUCAACUUUGAAUUCCAUUUAUCCAACAUCCCAUUUGUUCGUGAGCUCCAUAAGAUCAGUGGCUAAAACCAUUGACUUCUUCCAUAUGGGCGCUUGACCUCCAUGAAAGUAUUGUACUCAAAUGCAGUGUAUUUCCAUUUAUUCCAGUCUGCAGUGAGACCAGCAGCGGAGUAGCUGACAGUGGGUUAAAUCGCCAGAAUGAAGCAUUUUUGUAAGACUGUCCAGUCCUCUGCCUGUGAGUAACCUGAAGCAACAAAGCACAGCCUGAAGAGUCUUUCCUAACCAGUGCCAUUGGCGGAAUCUUGCACGAUCAAUCUGUAUGGCCAUUUUGUGAGUGAGACCUAAUGCAGGCAAAGUAAAUCCUGAACCAGCACCAAAGAUGGCGAUGUUUUUAGACAUGAUGCCUGGCUCCGUCCAUUCCACCCAGCUGGCACUGGAAAUACUCGUAUAAACAAGUGGCAGCCUGAUUCCACAAUAGGAUUGGCCUGGAGUCUCCAGGGAUUGAAGAUCAAUCUCCAGGACACUGCUGUGUGCAACCCUGGAGAAAAAUCUUCGGGACGUUAAAAAAUAUUGUUUUUUUUUAAAGUUCCUUUGAACGUUUCUCUUUCCCAGAUAUAAAAAGAUUGAAAAUGGGAAAAAAGCUGUUUGGCUGACAGUCAAGCAUCAUCCAAUUGGGUAAUGAGCCUUUUUGCUUUCCAGUUGGUGUAGGAAGGCAAUACCUCACAAGGAUGGAUGUGUUGGCCGACUAAUGGCUGGAGCAUGGGGGCAAGUCAUGUGAUGAAACCUCCAGGAGUACAUUUAAACACAGCUGGCAAUUCUACUCCAUAAUAAACUUAUGAAAGGAUUCCAUGCCCACGCAAAAGGUGUAACACCUGCCCCUUCACUUCCCUUCUCACCGUCCAACACUCCUUUCAAGUGAAGCAGCAUUUCACUUGCACUUCCCUCAACUUAGUCUACUGCAUUCAUUG